rnacentral:lncRNA from 1 species
AUGUUUAAGGAAGCACUGCCACCCCGGCAGUUCCAUCCGCAAGUCGCUGCCGGGGAGCAGGGGAGGCCAAAACAGGUUCCCGCGGGCACCCUGGGCCUUGCUCGCGCGCCUCUAGGGCUGGCGCCUUUCCCGGCCCUCCGUGUCCUGAGGUCUGGCCGGCGCGCAGGGCAGGGGGCGGCCUCUCCGAAGCCAUCCCGGUGGUCCCCGAAUAAAUCAUUCAUGAGCCGGCGCCUGCCGAGCCGGGCUGCGAGGGAAGGGGCGUCGGCAGCAGGGGCCGAGGCAGGAGCUGGACCCCAGCGCCCGGGCGGGGACCUUCUGCGAUUGCCGGAUCGAGAACUGGGUGCUCGGGGCGCACCCCACCAGUACGGCGCCGGCCGGGACAACAAAGGGAAACACGGACAGAGGAAGUUUCGCGGUGCGGGAGAGUCGGGGGCCCGAGGUCAGUAUCCCCGAAAGCCCGCGCCCAAAGGGGCAGGAGAUCCGAUCGGUGGGAAGACACCACUCCGAACCCCCUUCUCCCUGGCGGGCCCCGAUCCCUGUCCACGCGGGCCGCGGCGGGGAACCGGCGCCGACACGCUGGGGCAGCCAAGUUUCUUGGGCGACCCCCUCCCCCCGGCGGCGGCGGAUUCCUCGAGUCUCCCGGCUUCCCGCGCCCUCCCCGCCGCCCAUUCUUUUGUGUCCCGCAGCCCGGGAGAGGCUCCCGCCGAGAAGGGAGCGAGGGCAGGAGGGGGCGGCCUGGCGGUGGGCUGGAGGGAAGGGCUGGAGGAAGCCUGCGCCCAGGCUUCCUGCAGCAACAGGUUGUGCCUGCAGCGCGAGGCAGCUCCUGACCUUUCUCCUGCCGCUGCUCGAUAAAGCUUUCCCGGGUUCCUGAGGGCGGGGGCUGACCUUUGUUAAGAUAAGCAGGUGUGUGAUUAGGGUCCUUGAACGGCGCCCCGCCCCGACAGAGACCCACUGGAGACUCAAACAGCUGCUGGGGUGUUAGAUUGAACCAAAUGAAACUGCCACUUUUGUGGUUCGAAGACUUGAAUAUCGGCAGCUUCGUAAGAUUCCGAUUGUGAGAAGUUAUUACUUCUUUUUCUUUUCUCACUCAUUCGUGAGUUUCCAAUUUCAAUAUCCUCGGAGCAGUCCCGUCUGUCAGGUGAGCCCAGGGGCCACGGUGGAAUUUAGAAUACUGAUGCUGCGGUGCACAGAGCCUUUAUUGACUGCCAGCUCUGUGCCUAUUUGAUCUCUAACCCUCCAGCGCGAUCGGAAACCCCAUUUUACAGAUGAGCAAAGGAAAGGAUGGAGAAUGCAAGCAACUGCUCGCUGUCACCGAGUUAAUAAGUGGGACUAGGCCAUCCCUGCCUGCCUCAAAGCCCGGAAUGCUGUCUCUUCAGCAGUGCCUUUUUGUUUUGUUUUCGUCAUGUGUCUCAUAAUUUUUUUUAUGAACUUCCUCAUGAUUUCCUUGCUGAACUAUUUCUGUGCAUCCUAGUGCAGUGAAGUUGAUGCGUGCAUCAAAGGACAGGUUGAAAAUAAGAAAACUUUAAACCAAAUAUUGUUUUGUUGGUACCAUUUAAAAUAUGAAGGAAAUAGGUUUUUCAGGGGCCCAGGAACUACCUCUGAGAUUUGUUAAGAGUCAGGAUGUUUUGUUGCAAUGAUAGAAGCCAGCUCUGGGUAAUUUCAGCAGAAAGGGACUGGGUACUGGGUGGCUUGCAGAAGUGACAGGAAGGCUGGCUAGCCAGGCUCAGGAGCCCAAGGGAGCGGGACUCAGGACCUGUAACAGGACCCCUGGUUGGUGUAUGGCCAUAGCUGCCACCACGAGAGUCUGGAUGUGGCUGCUGGCACUGUCCCAUCACUGCUAGAAUGAAUCAGAAAUUGCCUCUGCUUGAGUGUCCUCCAUGCGCAAGCCUAGAAGUAAGCAUGUGAUUGGCUCAGCUUGACUCACCCCCCAAGGCACAGUGUGGGCACCUGAGCUGGGCUCGCAUGAGAGGCAGGGCUGCAGUCCACAAGACUCACAAAGGUAGCUCAGAAACUGGGCGGCUCCGUCGCACCCUUCUCCCCGCAAAAAUAACCCAGAUGACAAACAUCUACUACAAAGGUCCCUUUAAAAGAAGUUCCGUCAAAGGACGAGAAGAAAUGAGGCUGGAUGGUCACCAUCUUUGCUUUUAAACCAAUGUUGGUGGAAGUGCUAUUAUCUGGAUUCCAGGCUCAGAAUCAUGGGAGGUAUUUGCUUAAAAUUCACAUCCUUGGGCCCCUGUCCCAGUUUGAAAUAAGUGUAUUUGCAGUGGAACCCAGGAAUCUACACCCCAUAAACCAUAAAAAUGGUGAGACGGCCUUAUUGGUUAGUCUAGUGCCUGUGUAAAGAGAGAGCCCCUGAGGGAGCAAUUUCCAAAGCCUGGAAAGAUGAGGGUCCCAGCAGAAGGUGUGGCCUCCAGAAUAGUAGACCUAAGUUCUGCCGUGAGUAAAUCCAGGAGGAGACAGCCUGCUGCUUGUGUUGGAGGAAACAGCUACGGGCAACACCUCGCUUCCCGAGGCUGUGGGACUGCUGAGCGAUGCUUGAGACAAUUUUGAAAUAGGCAAUAAUGACCAUUUUGUGUUAGCCCUCCCUCUACGCCCCACCGUUUGAGUUCAGCAGUCCUUAUGGAGUGCCUACUGUGUGCCAGGCUCUAGGGGUGCAGACAUGAGUUAAUCAGAGACCUCACACAGCAGCCAAGAUAGAUCAGUUCAAUGUAAUGUAAGGAAGGCGUCUGGGGGGAUUUUGCCUCACUUCUGUUGGGUUUGGGAAGCUGAAGGUGCCUUUGGAAAGUGGUGUGAAUUAGCCAGGUGGGUGGGUACUCAGCAACAGUGCUGGCUCUCAGACGUCAGUUGUCUUAAGAAUCAGGCACCCCCCAAGGCAGGUGGUAAUGCUCAGGAGAGUGUUAAAAAUGCAGGUUAAUGGGCCUCAUCCCCAGGAAUUAGGUCCAAUAAUCGGCAUUUUAAGUAAAGACUCCAUUUUAUGCUGAUGCACCUGUUGGUCCAGGAGGGCUUUCCUGGGUUUUAUGCUGGCAGCUCUGCCAGCUCCUCUCAAUUGCUCUUGCUGCUCAGCGGGGUUUCGCAGGUGAGGACCCAGACCUCUCUGGGCGCAGGCAGUUAAAACUGAGAUGAAAAACUCCUUUAUGAGUUGACUUUUAUCAGUUGUCUAGUGUUUCAUAAGUAGUGAGAAUGUUUUCUUAAAAUUUACUCUAAAAUUUAAGAGGGACCUACACUUUGGAGCAAGAUGUAAAGAAACGAGGACAAGCGGCUCCAGGUGCUAACUCGGUUGACGUUUCAUCUCAGCAGCAGGGAGAAGCAGUGCUGCCUUUCAUUUGGGAUCUCCCUUCCCCGGCCUUCUCACUGAGGGAGUUGGGAAGUCUGUUUAUCCAGCUCCCCCAUGGGCCUCCUGCCGUUUCUCCCCUGCUGUGUUUCUCCCCGUCUCUGGCUGAAGCUGGUGGCAUUACCAGGAAGUCAGCCUUUCUUAGCAGCUGAGCCUUUAAUCCCUCCAGCUGCUGUCCUCUCUGCCUGUCCGUUAGCAGAAAACGAGAUAAGAUGUGAGUGUGGUGUGUGUGAGUGUGUGUAGGGGUCGUGUGCAUGUAUGUUGUGUGUAUGUGUGGUGUGUAUGUGUUGCACGUCAGUGUGUGAUGUAUAUGUUCAUGGUAUGUGUUGCAUGUGCGUGUGGUAUGUGUAUGUAGUCUGUGUGAUAUAUAUGUACACAGCAUGAGAUAGUAUGUGUUGUAUCUGUGUGGGGGGUGUGCUAGUGUGUGUAGUGUGUAUAUGUGUAGUGUGUGUCAGUGUGGGUGUAUGUACAUGUGUUGGUGUGUGUUGUAUGUAUGUGUGAUGUGUGUAUGUGUGUGUGGUAUUUGUUAGUGUGUGUUGUGUGUGAUGUGUGUGUGCAUGCCUGCCUGCUUAAAGGAGAGCAGUCCUAUCCUAUGUGAAUAACCGCACAAUCUCUCCUUUCACAUCGUCCGCCUACCCUGUGCAGCCAUGGAGACUUCCAGAGAGUGGGCUUGCAGAAGCUAACUGGUUUUGCGUCUUUCUCAUUUGUUCUCUCUGGAAAUGGUAGGAAGACUGAGCAGAGCGGGCCUGUGUUUGAACGUGUGCAGUGGUGAUUUCCUAUAAGAACCAGAGCAAGGCUGGAGCACUUCAGAGCCUGAGGCCAGGGUGUGUGCAGCAGCAGCCACACCUGGCAGGGAGAUUGCCCUGGUGUAUCUGUAGGGGAGAUGGAGAGCCAACAUGGAAGCCUGAGGUUAGCGAGGUUGACACUGGGAGCCACUGGGGAUCUGAGCAGCCCAUGAUUUGAUAAAGGGAGAGUUCAGGGUCAUUCUAUUGGUAGCUCUGUGCAGAAGGGAUUGGAGUGGGCCAGGCCCUAGAAGAUGAGGCAAUAUCUAAGGGGAUUAAAUAGGAAUUAACAUCUUCAUGCAAAGAGCUCAUGCAGUCCCACCACUUGUCUGGGGCUCUCUUUGACUUGGUGGGAUGUAGGUAGUGGGCCCUCUGGCCCCUUGUACAAGGUGUCACUUUCUUGAUGGUGCCCCCUCUCCCAUAUCACAGUGUGUUUCAGGAGCACCCUGUCCUUCUUUUCAAAGUUCAUAAGUGUGUAUCUAAUAUACAAGAUGAAAUCAGGAUGUUCCUGAUCUCAGAACAGAGAGGCGAGCAGAGCAUCUUAGUUCCUCUGGUGGGUUCUGUUUUGAGUCACCCAGCGCCCUGCAGGGGCACAAGGAAAGCAGGCUCUUUGGCUUAUUCAGUUAUAUAUAUAGCAGCACUUCCUGAUCCCCGACUGUGUGUCCUGUCUUGUGUUCAGUUCUGGGGAUAGAAAUACCAGGAGGACAGGGUCCAUCUUGGAGGUGCUCUCGGUCCCUUGCUCUCACUAGACGUUGGGUUAGUAGCUGCUCCUAGGAUUUCUGUUUCUUUCUCCCUCUCCCCAGGGGUGGGCAGGAGUCUCCCUCUGCCCUACCUCUCAUCACUGGGACCUCUAGUGACCAGGUGGUGACUUGGAGCUGAAGGUUUCCAUCAGGAUUACCUGGUGAGCAUAUUAGAAAGAUAGACUCCGUUGUCACCGAUCUUAAAGAGUUUAGUCCUUGUUGAGGCCAUGCUGUUCUAGUUUGGGUUGGGGGUGAGUGAAGAGGGGGAUGUUUGAGAUAAGAUCAGUGAGCAAAGAGUAGAAGAAAAGGCCGAGUAAGAUAUAUCUCCAGAGACAGGGGCAGCAACACAAACUUGGAGGAAAAAUAAGCGUAUAGUCUAUUGCUGGGGGCCUCUGAGCCUCUAACCGGAGGCUGGCUGAAAGGAGGACUCUGUAGGAAGAGUGUCUUGCUCAUUAGAUCUUGGAAUCUGAAGGCAAACCACUGGGUUUGAAUUCUGGCCCCAGCCAGGACCUCGGGCAAGUCACCGAAAUCCUCUCUGUAUCACUUUCCUCAUUUAUAAAAUGGGAUAAUGCCUUACACGGGGUCCCACCUGUAAAGCACGUGGAACAGUGUCUAGAAUAUAGUAAGUGCUUAAUAAAUGCUAGUUUCUAAGACCA